UAAAUAGAAUGAAAUGUAUGAAAACGAGCGUGCCAUUUUUUAAACGUUAUCUAUAAUAUCUGUGUCCAUCAAAGAGCUCGUAACUAAACAUCGUAAGCGCCAUUCAAAUUAUUAUCUAAAAGUUAAUAAUAAAUAUUUAGUUUUUGUAAAUCUAAACAAGUCAGGAAAUCAAAGAGGUAUAGCCUGACCAGGAACAUAAAAACCCUCGCCAUGUUGCGGAAAUCUAAUGGUACUAAUUUCUUUUAAUGGCAACAAUAACUAAAAACUUCAUUGACAUGUCACCUUGCAUGUCAGUCUAUUGCUGUCAAAGUGUAAACAAACUUUAUUUUAAAUGUGCGCAAUUGAUUUUGUGAAUGAAAUUGCUAAAAUCUUUUUAUAGUCGUGAAAGAAAAGUGGUUCACAAUGUGUUAAAGUAUUUGUCGAAGAGAAAUACCAAGGGUUCGGACAAUAUUUUCAUUGAAUAAUGUUUCCAACAAAGGUUGUCAAAUUGACUGACAUGUUUAUCGUAUAGUACAGUCCACUAUGAAAAUUAGCUGUGGUUUGUUUCAACUACCUAUUUUAAAGUUUUUUGUCACUUUCUAAGUGUUGAAUUUUAUGGAAUUGGGAAAGAAGUACCGAGUUUGAAGCGUUCAUGAGCAGACAUUGCAGUUGAAUAUUCAAGUUCUGAAUUUGAUUAUUGAUGAAUAAUAAAAUAAAUCCUACUAGCUCGA